AACGAACGCUGGCGGCAUGCCUAACACAUGCAAGUCGAACGAGACCUGCGGGUCUAGUGGCGCACGGGUGCGUAACGCGUGGGAACCUGCCCUUAGGUUCGGAAUAACUCCCCGAAAGGGGUGCUAAUACCGGAUGAUGUCUUCGGACCAAUGAUUUAUCGCCUUUGGAUGGGCCCGCGUUGGAUUAGCUAGUUGGUAGGGUAAAAGCCUACCAAGGCGACGAUCCAUAGCUGGUCUGAGAGGAUGAUCAGCCACACUGGGACUGAGACACGGCCCAGACUCCUACGGGAGGCAGCAGUGGGGAAUAUUGGACGAUGGGCGAAAGCCUGAUCCAGCAAUGCCGCGUGAGUGAUGAAGGCCUUAGGGUUGUAAAGCUCUUUUACCCGGGAUGAUAAUGACAGUACCGGGAGAAUAAGCUCCGGCUAACUCCGUG
rnacentral:rRNA from 1 species